rnacentral:tRNA from 1 species
AGCAGUGUGGCUCAAUGGAAAGAGCCUGGGCUUUGGAGUCAGAGGUCAGGGGUUUGACUCCCAACUCUGCCG